CAGUCGCCGCGGUAAUACGUAGGUCCCGAGCGUUGUCCGGAUUUAUUGGGCGUAAAGGGAGCGCAGGCGGUUUAGUAAGUCUGGAGUUAAAGGCAUUGGCUCAACCAAUGUAUGCUUUGGAAACUGUUUGACUUGAGUGCAGAAGGGGAGAGUGGAAUUCCAUGUGUAGCGGAGAAAUGCGUAGAUAUAUGGAGGAACACCGGUGGCGAAAGCGGCUCUCUGGUCUGUCACUGACGCUGAGGCUCGAAAGCGUGGGUAGCGAACAGGAUUAGAUACCCCCGUAGUCCCUGUCUCUUAUACA
rnacentral:rRNA from 1 species